AAUACUAUACCGUCAGGGAUCAUUUCUGUAGUUCAUUACUAAAGAAGUUUUUCUGAAUGUGUAGAACACCAGAAACCAUGACAGCAGGUGCAGAGGUGUCUCCUGAGUGUGAAGCGGCUCUGGGUGAUGCUUCACUGCAGCUACCAUUUGCCAUUGAUGAUCUUUUAUCUCUUUCUUUGGGAGAGUAACAGGAAGACAACGCUGCCUGAGUGGU